rnacentral:tRNA from 2 species
GCCGGUGUGGUGUAGUGGCAACACGUCACCUUCCCAAGGUGAAAUUGCGAGUUCGAUUCUCGUCACCGGCU